rnacentral:lncRNA from 1 species
AUUUUGACAUAUGCACUAAAAACUAUCGUAUUUGAUAGGUAUAGAUUUUUAGGUUAUCCUUAGAAGAGUAUGUGAUACUACUUCUAUCCUUCUACUGAAUAAAAUGUUUGUUAGUAGACAUGCCACUGACAGUGGUAGGAUAAUUAAACUUGAGAAGUUCAAAACCUAUAAACAAUCCCAUCAUAACCUGUGAAGUGUCCACAAGUUGAUCCUC